UGAAUAGUCACUAGUUAGUAUCAGUACCAUCCCACACAUACUACAAUUGUGGCCAAUCCAACGUAAACUCUAAGCUACAUAUCGUUAGCCAGUUUAUUUUUAUAUGACGGACUGCCAGGAAAUAGGAUAUCAUAAUCAUUUAUAUGCAACUAGGUAGUAUUAUGAACUCUAAAUUCAGCAAUUCCCUGCCACAUUCUGAUUAAUUAGUAACAACGAGAAGGCCUAGCGUAGAUGAACAAUAAUCAAGCACCACAGGGUUUCAGGUCAAACAAAUCAUUAAAGUAUGUAAUCAGAUAAACAAGAUUAAUGGGUUGUGCUAAAGAAACAGGAAGACUGAAAGAUCUGAAUACAGCGAAAAAUAACUUAAUUAUGAAUCAAGACCGCAUCAACGCAAAAUUAGAGUUCAUUCCAAUAAACAUCCACCCCAAGCUCACUACCCAGUACCCAUCAAAAUCCAAAUCUUAUUCAAAGACAAAACAAGGCAGACACAGUAUUUAAUUAAUUGGCAGUUAGUUCCAGAUAAAUAGAAAAUAACCUCCAAGUAAAAUAUUCAAAACUGUAAAGAAUGUACCUGAAAUUGAGGCGGGUCACCGGGGAAUUUUUCCCAAAAGUUAAGGAGAGUGGGGGCUUGUGAAGUCCGGAGCAGGGACGAUGAAGCAGCGGAACUAACUGAGCAGAAAAAUGCAGAGAGGCCAUGUUUUUCUUCGGUGGAAAUUGUAGUGUAGUGUAGUGUAGUGUACGUGUGGCAAUUAUAGAGCCUGUUGCAUCAGUGAUUUUGAGAAUUGAUUUUUUGAUCAUUGGAGAAAAAGUAAGACCUAUUUGAAAGAAAAAGUGAGGCCUAUUUGAAAGAGAAGAAAUCAAAUAUGACGAUUAGAAUAAUAAAAU
rnacentral:lncRNA from 1 species